GAUGAACGCUGGCGGCGUGCCUAAUACAUGCAAGUCGAGCGAAUGGAUUAAGAGCUUGCUCUUAUGAAGUUAGCGGCGGACGGGUGAGUAACACGUGGGUAACCUGCCCAUAAGACUGGGAUAACUCCGGGAAACCGGGGCUAAUACCGGAUAACAUUUUGAACUGCAUGGUUCAAAAUUGAAAGGCGGCUUUGGCUGUCACUUAUGGAUGGACCCGGGUCGCAUUAGCUAGUUGGUGAGGUAACGGCUCACCAAGGCAACGAUGCGUAGCCGACCUGGGAGGGUGAUCGGCCACACUGGGACUGAGACACGGCCCAGACUCCUACGGGAGGCAGCAGUAGGGAAUCUUCCGCAAUGGACGAAAGUCUGACGGAGCAACGCCGCGUGAGUGAUGAAGGCUUUCGGGUCGUAAAACUCUGUUGUUAGGGAAGAACAAGUGCUAGUUGAAUAAGCUGGCACCUUGACGGUACCUAACCAGAAAGCCACGGCUAACUACGUGCCAGCAGCCGCCGUAA
rnacentral:rRNA from 1 species